rnacentral:rRNA from 1 species
UACGUAGGGGGCAAGCGUUGUCCGGAAUCAUUGGGCGUAAAGAGCGUGUAGGCGGCCCGGUAAGUCCGCUGUGAAAGUCCAGGGCUCAACCCUGGGAUGCCGGUGGAUACUGUCGGGCUCGAGUCCGGAAGAGGAGUGUGGAAUUCCUAGUGUAGAGGUGAAAUUCGUAGAUAUUAGGAAGAACACCAGUGGCGAAGGCGGCUCACUGGCCCGGUACUGACGCUGAGGCGCGAAAGCGUGGGGAGCAAACAGG